rnacentral:ncRNA from 1 species
UCCCCGUUUCUCCUCCCUGAGCGGGCGUCUUAACCCCUUGUUAAGACUUUUUUGCCCCUAGCCUUCUCCUUUUGGCUCAGGGGCAAUUUUUU